rnacentral:rRNA from 1 species
GGUGAACGCUGGCGGCGUGCUUAAGACAUGCAAGUCGAACGGCAGUCUUCGGACUGUAGUGGCGCACGGGUGAGUAACGCGUAACUGACCUACCCCAAAGUCGCGGAUAACGAUUCGGAAGAAUCGCUAAUACGUGAUGUGCUGUCAGAUUGUGUUCUGCCAGUAAAGAUUGAUUGCUUUGGGAUGGGGUUGCGUUCCAUCAGCUAGUUGGUGGGGUAAAGGCCCACCAAGGCGACGACGGAUGGCCGGCCUGAGAGGGUGGCCGGCCACAGGGGCACUGAGACACGGGUCCCACUCCUACGGGAGGCAGCAGUUAGGAAUCUUCCACAAUGGGCGAAAGCCUGAUGGAGCGACGCCGCGUGAGGGAUGAAGGUCUUCGGAUCGUAAACCUCUGAAUCAGGGACGAAAGACACUUCGGUGGGAUGACGGUACCUGAGUAAUAGCACCGGCUAACUCCGUGCCAGCCGCCGCGGUAACAC